CACAAUUCUAGUACUGUGGCAUUUAAAGCUGAAGGGUUCUCGUAUAUGUUGACUUAAGAAGGACCUUUUAUUGUAUUUGUUCUUGUCGCGAGCGUACGGCGUAUGGAACAAUGUAAUUCGAUCUAUUUAAAACUAGGCUUGUUUCAUAGGCGAUAGCCACCUGCUGUGAGAGUAUAGGGGGUAAUAGUUGUAGUUAUUUGCAGCGCAGAUAAAUCUGUAGUGACGCUAGCAGCAGAAAUAUUUGAGUACAGUUUCAUUUCCGGCAUAAGUCCAAUUCUAAAACAAAGAUGGCGGCGAUGCAUUGGGAAGCUAGGAGAAAGCAAAAAGUUAUUGACCGCUCGUUUUCAGAUUACCGAGAUCUCUCAAAGAAAAUAAAUGGCGAAAAUUGUGACUUCAGCAAGCCAGAAACUCAUCGAAAUAUCGGCAAUUAUUUACGUUCAUUGACGUCAAACACACGUCGGGAACAGACCGAUCAGGAAAUGAGAGAUCGGGUUCGAGAAGAUCACUUGCAUGUUUACUCUGCCAAGCUUCCAAAUCGAUACAGUUCGCUUAACUACAAGCAGCAGUGGUGAUUGUAAAGACCGGAAAAAAUAAACGAACUGCAAUCCUAUAUAUUCUUCAGUAUUAAAAUAGCAAACAUAUUUCGAGUUCUGUCAAAAAUGUCAUGAAGUUCACCCAUGUGUCAAAUACAUUGAACG